UUGUUAAUAAAUAUCCAAAAUUGAUCAUUCACAUAUACAAAUUGUAAGACAUUGAGGCCCCCGAAAGACCUAUCAAAGACUAUUAAUUAAACCUCCCAUGCUCUUGCAAUAAUGCACAAGUUAAGUUAGUAGCGGUGGAGCACAAUUUGCGCUCUCCUUAUAUUUAUUUUUCUGCCAACUAGCUAAAAAAGCUUGACCAGAGGUCAAGAUAGAACCUAGCAACAAGCAGGGCUGCGAUGAAUGAGUCUUUAUUAUUUCCCUUCGGAGUCGUUUGGCACAGCGGACUGUCAUGGACUGGAUUAAAUCCUGGGACUGUCUCGGAUUAGCUCGGAUUGGCCUAAGCUGGAUUAAGUACUGACCUACGUUUAGUGCUGCGUCGGACUAAGAAGCUGGAUUGUAAAAAUAGUGAAGACCUAUGUUUGGUGCUGUGUCGUCGGAUUAAAAAAUAAUUAUUGUAAUAUUUAAAUUUAAAACAAUAAUUUUACAUAAAAAAGACAACAAAAAUUCUGAAUUUUUUUAAAAUCUAAAAUUAUCUUAAACAAAAAAACUCAUUAGAUGCAGACCCAACUCAACCUCCCCAUUCUUUUUACUUUCUUUUUAUAUUUUUUUUUCCUCUCUAUUUUUUGUUUUGUUUAAAAUAAUUAGGUUCAUUGCAUUGGAAGACAGAUAGAAAAAACAAAGGUUUUGCUUCUUAUGGAUCAAAUCAUCAAUGCCUGCUGCGAUUCCCCUACCCCACUGAAGCCAUCUUCUCUUGCUCCCUAGGAUUAAUAGAUUCAUUCUUGCCUCUCUCUCUCUCCCCCAUCAUAACCCACUUCCAGAUCCCCUUUUUCCCCAGUUCUCAUUCUCCCCUUUUGACUCUCUUUUUUUUUUUUUAAUUCAAUCAAGAAAGCUUCAAACAUUGGCUUUAGCAAAUGUGUUCUCCCAAGCAUGCCGCACAUCCUCUUCGAUCUUGGCAAGCCAGUGAUCUGGGUUUGUUUGGUUGCAGAAAUUAGAUAACCUCAUGAGGAAUCAUAGCAGAUAGAAAGGGCUCUAUGGGUCAACUGAUUGGGUGUUCAAUUGGGUGUUGUUGUUGCUGUCGAUAGGGUUGGUGGUGGUGAUAGUGAGGUUGGGCGAUGAUAGUGCGAAGGUUUAGUUCUGCGAUGGUUUAGUUCGAACUCCCGAGUUCAAUAUAGCGUGGGUGUUAUAUUGCGAGCUGCUUUUCAAGCUCGCUAAAUUGGAGCAACGAGUGAGGGAGAUUUUUCACUGUUGGACUAUAUAAUCUCAUUUAAGUUAGUCCCUUAUCUUAACAAACAUGGGUUUCAAGUACUAUUUAAGAUAGUCCAAUCUAGUGAAGCCUACCAAACACACCCUUCAAGUACUAAGGUUGGUUUCAACAUUUAUCACACAAAAAGACAAAUGAAAUGAACGGCUGAGAUUGCUUCCGUAUGAACCCAACCAGUGAUGAUUUUCUAUCUGAUGAACCACCAGCCACAAGUUAC
rnacentral:lncRNA from 1 species